rnacentral:rRNA from 1 species
UACGAAGGGGGCUAGCGUUGCUCGGAAUCACUGGGCGUAAAGCGCUCGUAGGCGGAUUGCUAAGUCAGGGGUGAAAUCCUGGAGCUCAACUCCAGAACUGCCUUUGAUACUGGCGAUCUUGAGUCCGGGAGAGGUGAGUGGAACUGCGAGUGUAGAGGUGAAAUUCGUAGAUAUUCGCAAGAACACCAGUGGCGAAGGCGGCUCACUGGCCCGGUACUGACGCUGAGGUGCGAAAGCCAGGGGAGCGAACGGG